UAGCAUAUCAAUAAGCGGAGGAAAAGAAACUAACAAGGAUUCCCCUAGUAACUGCGAGUGAAGCGGGAAAAGCUCAAAUUUGAAAUCCUUCGGGAGUUGUAAUCUAGAGAAGCGUUUUCGGUCGUUGCCUCGGACAAGUCCCUUGGAACAGGGCGUCAUAGAGGGUGAGAAUCCCGUCCUUGCCGAGCUCCCAACGUCUGUGUGAUGCGCUUUCGAAGAGUCGAGUUGUUUGGGAAUGCAGCUCAAAACGGGUGGUAAACUCCAUCUAAAGCUAAAUAUUGGCGAGAGACCGAUAGCGAACAAGUACCGUGAGGGAAAGAUGAAAAGCACUUUGGAAAGAGAGUUAAACAGUACGUGAAAUUGCUGAAAGGGAAGCGCUUGAAGUCAGUCGCGUGUGGGGGACUCAGCCUCUGGUGCAUUUCCCUCACACGGGUCAACAUCAGUUUCGGCCGCGGGAAAAGGGCUGGAGGAAUGUGGCAGCCUCGGCUGUGUUAUAGCCUCCUGUCGUACACCGCGGCUGGGACUGAGGACCGCUUAUAGGAUGUUGACGUAAUGGCUUUAAGCGACCCGUCUUGAAACACGGACCAAGGAGUCUAACAUGUCUGCGAGUGUUUGGGUGUCAAACCCAUGCGCGCAAUGAAAGUAAACGUAGGUCGGAGGCUUCGGCCGCACGAUCGACCGAUCCGGAUCUUCUGUGAUGGAUUUGAGUAAGAGCAUAUAUGUUGGGACCCGAAAGAUGGUGAACUAUGCCUGAAUAGGGCGAAGCCAGAGGAAACUCUGGUGGAGGCUCGUAGCGAUUCUGACGUGCAAAUCGAUCGUCAAAUUUGGGUAUAGGGGCGAAAGACUAAUCGACUAAUCGAACCAUCUAGUAGCUGGUUCCUGC
rnacentral:rRNA from 1 species